GACAGAGGGUGCAAACGUUGUUCGGAAUUACUGGGCGUAAAGCGCGUGUAGGCGGCUAUGCAAGUCGGAUGUGAAAGCCCUCGGCUCAACCGGGGAAGUGCACCCGAAACUGCAAAGCUAGAGUCUCGGAGAGGAUCGUGGAAUUCUCGGUGUAGGAGGUGAAAUUCGGUAGAUAUCGAGAGGAACACCGGUGGCGAAGGCGGCGAUCCUGGACGAUGA
rnacentral:rRNA from 1 species